GUGCUGGUUUAACUCAGCGGUUGCUUCUCAGCAACUGUUGAACGCUUCGCUCUCGCCACAGGGAUCAAACCACGGGCGCUGUCCAGUGUGUUU
rnacentral:vault_RNA from 1 species